GAAGCAGACCAAGACAACCGCUGGCUGUCAUUUCGGUGAUGGCGGGAGGAAGGUCCGGACUCCAUAGAGCAGGGUGACGGUUAACGGCCGUCCGUCGUGAGACGAGGAACAGGGCCACAGAGACGAGCGUAUUAAGUUACGGUGAAACGCGGUAACCUCCACCCGGAGCAAUUUCAAAUAGGCACGCGUUGAGGUGGCUCGCGGAGCGUGCGGGUAGAAAGCUUGAGCCGUGCAGUAAUGUACGGCCUAGAGGAAUGGUUGUCAUAGCAGACGGGCUUGCUCGUCUGCCGUAACAGAAUCCGGCCUAUCGGUUCGCUUCAAUU
rnacentral:RNase_P_RNA from 1 species